UUGGGCUGGUAUGUAUGUUGGCGAAGUUCUGUACCUGUANAGGCCCUUCCAGCCUGUCUCUGCGGGUAACUUCGUGUGUGGGCCGAACCGUGGUUAUUAACACUUGGUUGAAUGGCCUGGCCACUUUCGGGAUAAGCCUUGGUAAACUGGGUUCUUAAUACCGGGAUUAGGACAGCUGUUUAGUGUUCAGUUUGGAAAAUGUUUUCUCGGGUGCAAGAUGAGCUCGCGGCCGUGAUCAAGCUUUUUGUGGGUUAAUGGCCUACCAAGGCGUCGACGGGUAGCCGGCCUGAGAGGGUGUACGGCCACAUUGGGACUGAGAUACGGCCCAGACUCCUACGGGAGGCAGCAUGGGGAAUAUUGCACAAUGGGCGGAAGCCUGAUGCAGCGACGCCGCGUGGGGGAUGAAGGCCUUCGGGUUGUAAACUCCUUUCGACAGGGACGAAGCGUAAGUGACGGUACCUGUAUAAGAAGCACCGGCUAACUACGUGCCAGCAGCCGCGGUAAUACGUAGGGUGCGAGCGUUGUCCGGAAUUACUGGGCGUAAAGAGCUCGUAGGUGGUUUGUCGCGUCGUCUGUGAAAUUCCGGGGCUUAACUCCGGGCGUGCAGGCGAUACGGGCUGACUUGAGUGCUGUAGGGGAGACUGGAAUUCCUGGUGUAGCGGUGAAAUGCGCAGAUAUCAGGAGGAACACCGAUGGCGAAGGCAGGUCUCUGGGCAGUAACUGGCGCUGAGGAGCGAAAGCAUGGGUAGCGAACAGGAUUAGAUACCCUGGUAGUCCAUGCCGUAAACGGUGGGCGCUAGGUGUAGGGGGCUUCCACGUCUUCUGUGCCGUAGCUACGCAUUAAGCGCCCCGCCUGGAGAAGUACGGCCCAAGGCUAA
rnacentral:rRNA from 1 species